AAGUCGUAACAAGGUUUCCGUAGGUGAACCUGCGGAAGGAUCAUUACAGUGCGUCGUCGGACACCCCCGGGUGUCCGUUCGUCCCACCCGUGUCUACGUUACCUGUUGCUUCGGCGAGUCUGUGGCUUACGCCGCUGCCGGGGUGCCCCUGUGGCCCCUGGAUCGUGCCCGCCGGAGGUCUUCAAACUCACAUCAAGUAUGAAGUCUGAGAAUAUAGCUAAUAGCAUAAAAACUUUCAACAACGGAUCUCUUGGUUCC
rnacentral:misc_RNA from 1 species